rnacentral:rRNA from 1 species
AGAGUGCUUGACUGCAAGACGUACAUGUCGAGCAGAGACGAAAGUCGGACUUAGUGAUCCGGUGGUUCUGAAUGGAAGGGCCAUCGCUCAACGGAUAAAAGUUACCCCGGGGAUAACAGGCUGAUCUCCUCCAAGAGUUCACAUCGACGAGGAGGUUUGGCACCUCGAUGUCGGCUCAUCGCAUCCUGGAGCUGGAGCAGGUUCCAAGGGUUGGGCUGUUCGCCCAUUAAAGCGGUACGUGAGCUGGGUUCAGAACGUCGUGAGACAGUAAAAAAUGACCUUGCUGUCUAUAAAUUCGACUAUAUGCUGGGAAGUCUGGUAUAAUCAAAAUUCAUGCCAGAUUAUCAGCAGGAAAGGCUAGCAACAGGUUAUUAUAUCGCUGGCUUUGUUGAUGGCGAAGGAAGUUUUCAUGUUGCUUUUGAAAAAAGAUCAAGCGUUAAGCUUGGCUGGCAAAUAAUUCCGGAAUUUCAUGUCAGUCAGCAUCAAAGUAAUUUAAAGCUGCUUCGCAAUAUUCAACGGUUCCUUGGUUGCGGGACAAUUCGUCCCAAUCAUCAAGGUAGCAAGCGG